rnacentral:rRNA from 2 species
GACCGAUAGUGAACCAGUACCGUGAGGGAAAGGCGAAAAGAACCCCGGCGAGGGGAGUGAAAAAGAACCUGAAACCGUGUACGUACAAGCAGUGGGAGCACAGGUUUACCUGUGUGACUGCGUACCUUUUGUAUAAUGGGUCAGCGACUUAUAUUCUGUAGCAAGGUUAACCGAAUAGGGGAGCCGGAGGGAAACCGAGUCUUAAUUGGGCG